rnacentral:rRNA from 1 species
UACGAGGGGGGCGAGCGUUGUUCGGAAUUAUUGGGCGUAAAGGGUGCGUAGGCGGCCUGACAAGUCUGAUGUGAAAUCCCUGGGCUCAACCCAGGGCCUGCAUCGGAAACUGUCGGGCUUGAGUAUGGGAGAGGUGAGUGGAAUUUCCGGUGUAGCGGUGAAAUGCGUAGAUAUCGGGAAGAACACCCGUGGCGAAGGCGGCUCUCUGGGACGGUACUGACGCUGAGACGCGAAAGCGUGGGGAGCGAACAGG